UUCGACUUAAGAUGCAGUUUUCAGGAACCAACUGUGUCGUAAGUCCAAGGACUGCCUGUAUAUACAAUGUGUAUAUGGAUCGUUAUGGUCUCAUUAGGAAUCCUGUUCCUGGCUAGACUGGUAAAAUAAAGGAUGCUUCAUCCAGAAACUAAAGACGAUGCUUAUCCCUUUUUACAAAACAAUGCAGCUGACAAGUCUUGAAGCUUCGCCUCCCUGGGGAAGAGGGACGCAGACUGAUUCAACCAAGUUCAAAGGAGACAAAGCACUUGAAACUGUGUGAAGUAACAGCCCCUGACCUGCAAGACAGAGACAUUAUCUGAAAACUGACAGGUGUGAGACUGAGAGAAACAAAAAUGGGCCCUGUGGGAGGGUACAGAGUAUUGCAGAUUUGCCAGGGUCUCCAUGUGGAAGAUGGGUGAACACCUGGAUCAAGAGCUUCAGAUUUGGGUCCUGCUGACCUGUUUCUACUCCAGACCUAGACCCUAGUUCUACAUGAUUGUAUAAAUCGGAAUGGUGAGAAAUGGAUACUGAACUUGCUGUGGUUCGUUUCACAUUCCUGUUUUGAGAAAUCCUCUGGGGCUCUGCCGGCUGCUUCUGUCAAGGUAGAACCAGCGCAUUUCUG